AACAAUGAAAGUAUGAUUCGAAAUAUUUAUCAUGCUUGUAUAUCAUUUCAAAUAUAUGUUAUAUAUAAGGAGAGAAAUGGCAAACAAAGCACAAUCUUAUUUAGAUUAGACUAUAGUAUAGUAUAGAGGAGCGGUUUAACAAGUCUAAUUUUAAUUAAUAACGUAGCAUAGUUACAGUCUUGAAAACCAUGAUACGUUAAAUUCAUAUAUGAGACAUUGACCCAUCAUCAAAAUAUAUGUAUUCGGAGACGGUGAUAUAUUAAAAUUCUAUUUCAAACAUCGUACGUAAAUAUGAUAGACAAAGUUAAACCUUUUGAAUGUACAUUACAUACCUGUCCGUAUUGUAUUACGUUGCUGCAUCAUGCUAUUUCAUACAUUAAGACAACAAAGUGAAAAUAAUUAAUGCUUUUCUCAUUUGAAGAUUUUGUUUAUGUGAUGUACAUGUAGAUUUGUAAAAACAUAAUACGUGUUUUAUGUCUAGUAAUGUUUUCCUUCUGGUUAGAGUGGUGAGGGAAAAAUUCAAUGAGAAAUAAAUACAUUGAAAGAU
rnacentral:misc_RNA from 1 species